rnacentral:rRNA from 1 species
GAUGAACGCUGGCGGCGUGCCUAAUACAUGCAAGUCGAGCGAACAGACGAGGAGCUUGCUCCUCUGACGUUAGCGGCGGACGGGUGAGUAACACGUGGAUAACCUACCUAUAAGACUGGGAUAACUUCGGGAAACCGGAGCUAAUACCGGAUAAUAUAUUGAACCGCAUGGUUCAAUAGUGAAAGACGGUUUUGCUGUCACUUAUAGAUGGAUCCGCGCCGCAUUAGCUAGUUGGUAAGGUAACGGCUUACCAAGGCAACGAUGCGUAGCCGACCUGAGAGGAGGAUGGGCCCCAAUGGAGGUGAGACACGGUCCAGACUCCUACGGGAGGCAGCAGUAGGGAAUCUUACGGAAUGGGCGAAAGACUGACGGAGCAACGCCGCGGGGGUGAGGAAGGUCUUCGGAUCGUAAAACUCUGUUAUUGGGGAAGAACAAAUGUGUAAGUAAUUAUGCACGUCUUGACGGUACCUAAUCAGAAAGCGACGGCUAACUACGUG